rnacentral:rRNA from 1 species
CGGUGGCUAUAGAGAAGAGGAAACACCUGUUCCCAUUCCGAACACAGAAGUUAAGCUCUUCAUCGCCGAUGGUACUGCAUGGGUAACCGUGUGGGAGAGUAGGGAGUUGCCG